GACGAACCGUUCGAACGUUAUUCGGAAUCACCGGGCUUAAAGCGCGUGUAGGCGGCCCGGCACGUCCGUCGCUGAAAUCCCCCGGCUCAACCGGGGAAGUGGCGUGGAUACGGCCGGGCUGGAGGGGGGUAGGGGGAGCCGGAACUUCCGGUGGAGCGGUGAAAUGCGUUGAGAUCGGAAGGAACGCCCGUGGCGAAAGCGGGCUCCUGGACCCCACCUGACGCUGAGACGCGAAAGCCAGGGGAGCGAACGGG
rnacentral:rRNA from 1 species